GCCAGGCGCUGUGGCGCAUGCCUGUAAUCCCAGCAGCUGGGGAGGCUGAGGCAGGAGGAUCGUCAGUUCAACGUUAGCCUCAAAAUUUAAUGAGGGCCAUGAACAACUUAGUGAGAGCCUUUCUCUA
rnacentral:sRNA from 1 species